ensembl:lncRNA
GUAAGAAAGACAAGAGAUUCAUUCAUGGGAAGGUGAUUCAAGGCACCGACAUCUCUGUAUCUCUGCACAGCUACAGAUGAUCAUUAUUACUCACACACACUGCUCACACGCAACCUGGAAUGAAACUAACAGUUAACUCCACUUACCGUCAUGCAUUGCGCAUCUACGUUUGGUGAAAGCAGCAUGUGCUGAGGCGCUCCGCACAAACUAUGGCUCAGUGAAGCUGCGGCUCUUGACGAGAGCGCGUCGUGUCAGCAGAGACUCUGGCUGCAGCUGCCGCAGAUACCAUCAUUGCGCUGGACCCUAAGGAGGAAUCAGCAUCUUCGAAAAUAAUCGUUCUGAUUGCUUUGCUGGAUUUGCCUGGGCGUAAAUCGUUUAAUGCUGGGGCUCUUUGGACGCAUUAACGGGAUUAAUCGCGACAUUGACAAACGUGGAGAAGUUAUUAUUGUUUUGUGUUUUUGUUUAAACGUGAUCACGAUGAUAGCAGCUGAUGGAUUGAAAACUCCAGCUAUGGAUCUUUUCGCGUGUUAUAAGGAAAUGCUGACUUCAGUCUGGGAUGAGUUUCUACUCCUGCCACAGAUUCAGCUGCUGGACAAGUCUCUUGGGAUAUUUGGGAUACACGCGUGGUCAAGUGCUGACAUUUUCAUAGAUGGUUAAUGUUAUAUGCUGAUUUCGGAAAUGAAAUCUGUAUUUGGUGGAUUUCUUUUUUUUUUUUUUUGCACAGUUGGAUAUCUUGGAUUAUGUUUUGGAAGCUGUGCUCCAGUGGAUGUCCAGUGAUUUGGAUAAUAUGUGCGCAUCUCCUGAUUCCGCAGAUGAUCACCAAGAAGGGGCUGAGUAAUGGAAACAUGACCUCAAGAGAUUCAACAGGGUGAGGCAUGUGAGAGAAACGUGGGAAGGGAAAAUCCAGAAUGGAGGCCAGAAGAGAUGCACAAAGUCAGGAUCAUACUAAAUCCUGGUUUGGACUGUUGGACCAGCAUCCUCUGAAGCAGAUGUUUGCUCCUGGCAAGGCUGCCGACAACAUGAGCUCCAACACUGGCAAUCUAGCUCCCAGGAUUCAGUGAGCAGCGUGAGCUUGGAGAAGCUAUGACAUAAACGCAGCAGGACGGUGAAUCGCGUUUUGCUGCUCAGACAUCAUGGAACAGAUCAGUCAGCCCCAUCUGGAGAAAUGCUCUAUAGAAGAGUCAUAUAUUUACCAUAGUUACUUUGAUGGAUACAGCAUGUUGUUUGACUUUAUUUUUCUAAUUGAUUUUAUGAUGAUAAUUUCCCGGCAUCUAUGUAUCUUCUCUUGUUUUGCAGAUUUUAUUUACAGUGUCGCUCAUUCAGUAACUUCAGCAUUUAAUGUGUAAUUUUUGUCAUUUUUGGUAAUGUGACUGUUUUCAAAGUGGCUCUUCUAAAACUGCAUAAGAACGUUUAUCCAGGGAGGAGCACAAAAGAUGUCUCCUACUGUGUAUAAAGACUUAAUGCACAUGUGAUUGAGAUUAAUCAGACGAAUCACUCAAUCAGUGGAUAUGUGAUUUUCAUCUUCGACAAAGAAGCCAUUGUCAUUAAUGUAAAACCAUGAAUUCUCCUUCUUACGCUGCAUUUUAUUGUGACACAUUGGCAGCUUCUGCUAAUUUCAGUUAAUAAUCCUGUCAAGCAGUUUAUUCUCAUUAUGAUUUAUGACUCCAUAGCUUUUGUUGUUUUUGUUAAGCCCUGUUAGCAGAAAUUAAAAGGUGUAUCCAAGCUGCUGUUUGUUUGUGUUGUCAUUCCAGAUACAUGAGAUAAAUGGUUGGAUGUUUCAGUGGUGUUCAUUGUUACGGUUAUUCAUGCUGGCUUCCUUACUAGUUAGGCCAGUAUGUGCUAGUCUAGCAUUUGAGGAAUAAAUGGGGUGUUAUCUUUUUUUUUUUUCUUCAAAGGAAGACAAGGUAAAGGUGAACUUUACAGUAAAAAUGUAAUAUGUUACAUUUAAACUGAAACAGUGAUUUUUAAUAGUUUUACUGGCAAUCGCAACAUACUGAAUGUAUAUUUUUGGUUGAUGUUACAAUGUAAUGUGUAAAUGCAUCACUUACUAUAAUCACAAAAAAUUGUAGAAGUAACAGUAAAAAGAUGACAUCAUUUUGCUGAGUUUACACUCUACAAACGUGUCACGUAUGAUGUUGAUGGAGAAGUGCUUAAUGUCACAUAAUAGGUCAACGUGUGUCAAAAUGCAGGGAGUUUCCAACCAUACUGUGGAAGAAAUCCCCACAGAUCCCUCGUCUUGUCCCAAAAAUAUUCAACAUACGUCGCUAAUGCAUGCAUUGUUUUCAUUUAGUCUGAGUGACUUCAGCAUUUCAGCAGUGACUUCCCAUUCAGCUGUCUUUCGCUGUCAUUUCAGUUACGAUUCAAUAAAGUCUGCGUCAGGGUGGGUAGGUGAAGGAGUGUAUAGUUGCUAAGGGUGUAAUUAUUCCUCAAGGGGUUACUUAUUGUUGUCCUUGCCUCAGUGAUAAAACAAAGCUGAC